CCGGGCGAAGCCAUGUUUCCGACAGAGUUGAGACAAAAGGAAAUACCCAAAUUGGACUGGGUGCAGGGAGGCGAUGCCAGUAUCUAAAGAAACUUUUUGCACAUGAACUACAAACGGCCCUAUGUCAUAGGCCUCAUAAAACGAUCUGCCUGUAGGAUUUUUUGGAGACUGAGAACUAUCUGAUGGGGGGUGUUGUUGGAUAUUAACAGUUACACUUGUUUUAUGUGCUGGGUCACCUUUUUGCUGAAAACUAUCUAUAUCGUUAGCAUUCUUAAUCUCAGUACAUAAUGAGGGAAAUUCAAUAUCCGGUAUUUGGCACGAACAAUCAGUCUCUUUUUGCUUGUUACGACGCGUCGGGUCAAAUCUUUUUUUCCUCUUAUUACAAUGUUUGCAAAUUUUA